CCCGGGUCAGGCCUGGCAGCUCGGUGACGACAUCCGAGUGAGCGGAGCAGACUAGUGUCCCCGGACUGGAGAGCGCCGGCCUCGGGGGAGACAUGCGGACUGCGGGGCUGCUGCUCGUCCUGCUCCAGCUGUCCCUGUCCCCACUGCUGGAGGCCAAGGAGUGUGAGAAGCCUUGUGUGAACGGCGCCUGCCAGCCGGGCAGCGGACAGUGCCAGUGUGAUCCCGGCUGGACCGGAGAGCAGUGCCAGCACUGCGGGGGCCGCUUCUUGUUAACUGGACCAAGUGGGACUGUGACGGACGGCCCCGGGAACUACAAGUACAAGACUAAGUGCACCUGGCUGAUCGAGGGGCUACCCCAAUCUGUGCUGCGUCUGCGCUUCAACCACUUUGCCACAGAGUGCAGCUGGGAUCACCUGUACGUGUACAAUGGAGACUCCAUCUACGCCCCGCUGGUGGCUGCCUUCAGUGGACUUAUUGUCCCGGAGAGCGAAGGCAACGAGACGGUCCCCGAAGUCUCCAUUACUUCUAGAUACGCCCUAUUGCAUUUCUUCAGCGACGCGGCCUACAACCUGACCGGCUUUAAUAUCAGCUACAGCAUAAACACGUGUCCCAACAACUGCUCAGGACGGGGGAUCUGCAUUCAGGGAAACGACAGCAGUGUGUACUGUGACUGCGCCGAGGAGUGGAAGGGAGAGUCCUGCCACAUCCCCUACUGCAGGGACAACUGUGGCUACCCCGAGCGCGGAGACUGCAGCGUGAACGGCACCAAGAGCUGCGUGUGCAGCGACGGCUGGCAGGGUCCCGGCUGCUCCAUCCCAGUCCCUGCCAACCAGUCCUUCUGGACCCGGGAGGAGUUCUCCGAUCCUCAGCUGGGCAGAGCUUCCCACAAAGCACUGGUGCUGGAUGAUGUCAUGUGGAUCGUGGGCGGCUACGUGUUCGACCACUCCAUCGACCAGAUGGUUAUGGCGUAUAACCUGGUCUCCCGCGAGUGGCUGAAGCUGAACAGCUCUGUCAACUCUGUCGUCAUCCGCUACGGACACUCCCUGGCUUUAUACAAGGACAAGAUGUACAUGUAUGGCGGCAAGCUAGACUUCACAGGGAACGUAUCCAACGAGCUGUGGGUUUUCCAUGUUCAGAACGAGUCCUGGGUCCAGCUCCUUCCGAAUGCCAAAGAGCAGUAUGCUGUGGUGGGGCACUCGGCUCACAUCGUCACUCUGAAGGACGGCAGUACGGUCAUGCUGGUGUUUUUUGGCCAUUGCCCCCUCUAUGGCUAUAUUAGCAGCAUCCAGAGCUAUAACUUGGGUACUAAUGUUUGGGACGUCGUUGAGACUCAGGGGGCAUUAGUCCAGGGGGGAUACGGCCACAGCACCGCUUAUGAUGAAAACACCCGAUCCAUCUAUAUCCACGGUGGAUACAAAGCUUUCACCGCAAACAAAAAUCGCCUAGCGGAUGACCUGUACAAGUAUGAGGUGGACACUCGCAUGUGGAGAAUCCUAAAAGACAGCAAGUUCUUCCGCUUCCUGCACUCGGCUGUGAUUGUGAGCGGCACCAUGCUGGUGUUUGGCGGGAACACCCACAACGACACAUCCAUGAGCUACGGAGCCAAGUGCUUCUCUAAGGACUUCAUGGCGUAUGACAUAGCUUGCGAUACCUGGCACCAGCUGCCAUUUCCCACUCUGGGCUAUGAUGUCAAUCGCUUCGGUCACACCGCCGUCCUGAAAAACGGCACAAUGUUUGUAUUUGGCGGCUUCAACAGCCUCCUGCUCAGCGACAUCCUGAUGUACACCUCCAAGAGCUGCGAGGCUUUUACAUCGAACACGUCAUGUGUGGAGGCAGGACCCGGAGUCCGGUGUGUCUGGGACAGCGAAGCCUCUCGGUGCUUGUCCUGGGAAGAGGCUACACCAAAGCAGCAAAAUGAGACCGUCCUCACAUGUCCUGCAGUCAUGUAUUUGGAGGGCGACAGCCGGUGCGAUCAGUACACGGACUGCUUCAGCUGCUCGGUGAACUCCAAUGGCUGCCGGUGGUGUAACGACCAGUGUAUAUCCCUCCUCCAGAACUGCAGCCAGGGAGCGAUCACAUCACAUGAGCACUGCCCCAAGAGUAACCACGGGUUUUACUGCAGCAAGAAGACGAGCUGUAAGAGCUGCGCCGUGGACCAGAACUGCCAGUGGGAAUCUCGGAACCAGGAGUGUAUGGGGCUGCCAGAAAACAUCUGUGGGGCCUCCUGGCAUCUGGUGGAAAGCUCCUGCCUGAAAAUCACCAGCACCAAGGACAACUAUGACUUCUCCAAGCAGGCGUGUCGGCAGCACAACGCGAUGCUGGCGUCCCUCACCACCCCCAAGAAGGUGGAGUUCGUGGUGAAGCAGCUGCAGAACAUGCAGACAAAGAGCGAGCUCACCCCUUGGGUCGGCCUCCGAAAGCUAAAUGCUUCUUACUGGUGCUGGGAGGACAUGUCGCCCUUCACUAACACCACGCUGCAGUGGCAAGCAGGGGAGCCCAGCGGUGUCGGCUUCUGCGGCUACCUGGCCGAACCUUCCACAGCGGGCCUAAAAACGGCAACCUGUAUCCACCAGAUAAAUGGCAGCGUCUGUGAAAGACCAGCCAAUCACAGUGCCAAGCAGUGCCGCACCCCGUGUGCCUCCAGGACGCAGUGUUCGGAGUGCACCAGCGCCAGCUCCGAGUGUAUGUGGUGCAGUAACAUGAAGCAGUGUGUGGACUCCAACGCCUAUGUGGCCUCCUUCCCAUUCGGGCAGUGUAUGGAGUGGUAUACCAUGAGCAACUGUCCACCUGAGAACUGCUCCGGAUAUCGUACGUGUGCCCAGUGUCUGGAGCAGCCCGGCUGCGGCUGGUGUACGGACCCCAGUAACACAGGGAAGGGGCAGUGUAUGGAGGCCUCAUAUCAGGGGCCAAUGAAACUGCCAAACGCUUCAGCGGGUGCAAAGGCAAACUCUGAGCCGGUCCUGGAUGUCACCCUGUGCCCUGCCAAUAACAGCUACAACUGGUCCUUCAUCCAUUGUCCAGCCUGCCAGUGUAACGGACACAGCAAGUGCAUCAAUGAAAGUAUCUGCGAGAAGUGCCAAGACCUGACCACCGGCAAGAACUGCGACACCUGCAUCUCCGGCUACUACGGCGACCCCACCAACGGGGGAUCCUGUCAGCCCUGCAAAUGUAACGGACACGCAUCCAUGUGCAACACGAACAGCGGCAAGUGCUUCUGUACCACCAAGGGGAUCAAAGGAGAAGAGUGUCAGCUGUGCGAAGUCGAAAAUCGCUAUCAAGGAAACCCCCUGAAAGGAACGUGUUACUACACCCUGCUGAUUGACUAUCAGUUCACCUUCAGCCUGUCCCAGGAGGACGACCGGUACUACACGGCCAUCAACUUUGUGGCCACUCCUGAGGAGCAAAAUAGAGACCUGGACAUGUUCAUCAAUGCAUCUAAGAACUUCAACCUGAAUAUAACGUGGGCACCAAGCUUUGCAGCCGGCACCCAGGCGGGAGAGGAGAUCCCCAUCAUCUCCAGGACCAACGUCAAGGAAUGUAAAGACACUUUCUCCAAUGAGAAGUUUGACUUCCACAACAAUCCGAACAUCACCUUCUUCGUCUACGUCAGCAACUUCACCUGGCCCAUAAAGAUACAGAUCGCCUUCUCUCAGCACAGUAACUUUAUGGACUUGGUACAGUUCUUUGUCACGUUCUUCAGUUGUUUCCUCUCCUUGCUCCUGGUGGCCGCUGUCGUUUGGAAAAUUAAACAAAGUUGUUGGGCUUCAAGGAGAAGAGAGAUACCCUGCCCUUCGCUCGGACAUCACCAACCCUCCCCAGAUAACCAGUUUCCUCUCCCUGUCAUCACCACCCCUCCUCAGACAUCCAGUGUCUUUACUAUGUGACAUCAUCCAUCCACAUAACCACUGCCCUCAUUAUGUGACAUCAUCAGUCCUCUCCAGCUAAGCCGUUUCCUCCUACUGACAUUACCAGUUGUCCCCUAUUUAACCCUGCUGCUCACUCUGACAUCACAAGCUCUCCUCAUAUAACCCUGCUCCUCAUCCUGUGACAUCACAAGCUCUCCUCAUAUAUCCCUGCUCCUCAUCCUGUGACAUCACAAGCUCUCCUCAUAUAUCCCUGCUCCUCAUCCUGUGACAUCACAAGCUCUCCUCAUAUAUCCCUGCUCCUCAUCCUGUGACAUCACAACUUCUCCUCAUAUAUCCCUGCUCCUCAUCCUGUGACAUCACAAGCUCUCCUCAUAUAUCCCUGCUCCUCAUCCUGUGACAUCACAAGCUCUCCUCAUAUAUCCCUGCUCCUCAUCCUGUGACAUCACAAGCUCUCCUCAUAUAUCCCUGCUCCUCAUCCUGUGACAUCACAAGCUCUCCUCAUAUAUCCCUGCUCCUCAUCCUGUGACAUCACAAGCUCUCCUCAUCCUGUGACAUCACAAGCUCUCCUCAUAUAACCCUGCUCCUCAUCCUGUGACAUCACAAGCUCUCCUCAUAUAACCCUGCUCCUCAUCCUGUGACAUCACAAGCUCUCCUCAUAUAUCCCUGCUCCUCAUCCUGUGACAUCACAAGCUCUCCUCAUAUAUCCCUGCUGGUCACUCUGUGACAUCACAAGCUCUCCUCAUAUAACCCUGCUCCUCAUCCUGUGACAUCACAAGCUAUCCUCAUAUAUCCCUGCUCCUCAUCCUGUGACAUCACAAGCUCUCCUCAUAUAUCCCUGCUGGUCACUCUGUGACAUCACAAGCUCUUGUCAUAUAUCCCUGCCCUUCAUCCUGUGACAUCACAAGCUCUCCUCGCAUAUCCCUGCUGCUCACUCUGUGACAUCACAAGCUCUCCUCAUAUAACCCUGCCCCUCAUCCUGUGACAUCACAAGCUCUCCUCACAUAUCCCUGCUGCUCACUGUGACAUCACAAGCUCUUGUCAUAACCCUGCCCCUCACUCUGUGACAUCACAAGCUCUCCUCUGACAACCCUGACCCUCACUCUGUGACCACCUGUCUUCAUAUAGCCCCGUCCUUAACUUUGUAACAGCACUGACCUGCAGCCACCACUAGGGGCAGCUCUCUGAAGUUGGAUUUAUUCUGCACCUGUUGAACCUGUUCACUUCAGCUCCCCCUGGUGGUAACUGCAUGCAGCCAGAAUUUAAUCAUGUUGGUUGUCCAGGAUUAGAAAAACGUUGCUACUUUUCCACUUCACCACCCUGACGGCCCAGAGAGAUUGACCCCUGACCUCUGUAGGGGCAGGAACAGAGAGAGGUUUAAAAGGGACCCCUCCCACCACCAUUCACCAGUGUGUUCCUGCCCCUAUAGUGGCCAGGACAGAGAAGUCCUCUCUGGCUUCAGGGAGGUGAAGUGGACCUCGAUUUAUUUUUAUUUUAAGGUACCUGGGUGACCGCGUCGGCGGUCCUUGUGGCCUCCCUUGUGGGUUCAUCAUCCAGGAAAGCGUCCCCUGCUCUCCGGCGGACUAGUUCCAAAGCUGGCAGGGUGACGCCAGGGUCAUGCUCCCUGUUGAGGGAAGCCUGCCCUGAGCUGCCGCAGGUCGCCUACCUCCCUGUGGGGGAGCCGACCGGAAAGACGCUCUGCGCAGUCGCGCGCGUCUGACGUCCCUUCCGGGUUGCCGGCGAAACCCGGAAGUAGACGCGGCCUCGAUAAAAAAAAAAGUCUCCCAGCACUCUUCCCUGCUGCGCUCUCUGCAUCGCUCGCUGACCAGACAUGUCGGACCAGGAAAAGGAGCCGCAGCUGAAGGAGCAGACCGCUCCAGAGCGCCCCUGCGUGAGUAGCCCACCUGGGCAGCCGGCAGCUUCACAAAUGGAAGGGGGGGGGGGUGCACCCUGGUGCACCCUAGUGCACCCUAGUGCAUUCUCUGUUCCCCUCCCCCUGGGGGUCUGCUGGUAUACUGCAUCUAUAUUAUGCUCCUAUACCAGACUGACAUAAAUUUAGGCCAAACUAACUUUAAAAAAGUCAGACGACCGCCAGAUGCAUCCAGUGCUCCGUCCGGCUUCCCGAUGACUAUACUAAAAAACUUUGCAAGGAUUGCAUUGCCAAAUUAGUGAGAGAGGAACAGCCCUCAAUUAUGCAGGAGUUCAGAUCCAUGAUUCAGGAGGAGGUUAAGUCUUCCCUGGCCUCCCUCCGUGAGGAUAUCCGGGGGUCUCGCCCACCUAAACGGCCCAGGAUGGCGGAUAUUUCUGACACCGAACAUUUAGAGGACGAUGCCUCAUCCUCUAAAAAAGAGGACGACGACCCCCUGUCUGAGGGUGAGAUCGUUGAGGACACUAGGAAAUAUUUCUUUACCCCCAGUGAGAUGAGUGACCCUUUAAAGGCCAUCAGGGAUACCAUGGGGGUGGAGGACAUACAGCGACCCCAUACGGUUCAGUAGGAGAUGUUUGCUAGAUUGAAGGUCAAACGCUCCAGGGUCUUCCCCAUAAACGAAAACAUUAGGGAAAUGGUGAUGGAUGAAUGGGCCCAUCCUGAAAAGAAACUGGGAAUUUCCAAAGAAUUCAGGAACCGCCUUGUAUUCGACCCGUCGGAUUCUACGAUUUUUGACGAGGUCCCUAGAAUUGACGUCCAGGUGGCCAAGGUCAAUAAAAAAAACCUCACUUCCAUUUGAGGACUCCUGUCAGUUAAGGGACACUAUGGAACGAAAAGCUGACAGUUUAUUAAAAAGUCUUGGGAGGCAGCCAUGUUUAGUGUCAAAACUAACAUAGCUGCUACUUCAGUCGCCAGGUCUAUGUACCUGUGGCUGAACGAAUUAGAGGGUCAUCUAGGGAUCAGAUACUCGAUACUAUUCCCCUAUUAAAAUCCGCCACUGGAUUUCUAGCAGACGCCUCUGCAGAGACGAUUAGGUUCUCAGCCAAGGAUGCAGCUUUGUCCAAUGCUGCCCGGCGGGCACUUUGGAUGAAAUCUUGGUCGGGCGACAUCUCUUCCAAGAUGAAGUUUUAUGUUCUAUAGCCUUCUCAGGGGAAUACGUGUUUGGUCCUGUCCUGGACAAGAUCCUUGAGAAGGCUACGGAUAAAAAGAAAGGGUUCCCUGAGGAAAAGACCGCUAAAAAGAAAACUUCCUUUCGUAGCCAAAAUAGCUCCUUUCGUGGUAAAGGUAAAUCCGGAAGUUGGAGUUACCCAAAAGGGGGAAGGGGUAGAGGAUUCCUCCUUAAUCCCCAAAACAAGGGAGGUGAGAAACGGUGACGCCAGGAUUGGGGGAAGACUAUCCCAGUUUUUUGCUCAGUGGCAGGAGACUUCUCCCAGCCUCUGGGCUCAAAAUCUUGUCAGAAAUGGAUACAGGAUAGAGUUAUCUCUCCCCCCCCCCCCCCCCACAUCCAAAUGUGUUUCUGAUUUCUCACCACCCUUCUCCCUUUCAGCACAGCCAGAUCUGGAAGGAGGUUCAGAAUCUCCGGGACUUGGGAGUAGUGAUUCCUGUUCCCGAGCUUCAACGGGGGCAAGGUUUCUACUCCAGCCUUUUCUUAGUAAAGAAACCAGGGGGUUCCUUCCGUAUGAUAAUAAACCUCAAGAGGCUAAACAAAUUUAUCUACAAAAAAAUUCAAGAUGGAAUCUCUAAAUUCCACCAUUCCUUUAAUUCAAAAAGAUGCGUCCCUCUGUACAAUCGACUUAAAGGACGCAUACUAGCAUGUUCCUAUUCACUCCCAGUCUCAAAGGUUCCUACGGUUUGCAGUAAGGGAUCACAGAGGGUCUGUUCACCACUUCCAGUUCGUGGCUCUCCCCUUCAGGAUGGCCUCAGCCCCAAGGAUUUUCACGAAGCUGGUGGUAGAGAUGGUCGCCUCACUGAGGUCUCAGGGUGUGACUGUCGUUCCUUACCUAGACGACUUUCUACUGAUUUCCAACUCGGUGGAUCAGUCUAUAGCAGACCGAGACAUCUUCUGCUCCCUUCUGACAUCUCUAGGUUGGGUGAUAAACCUAAAAAAGUCAUCCCUAGUUCCAAAUACCAGGGUAAAAUUCCUGGGGGUUCUGUUAGAUUCAGAAAAACAAACAACCUUUCUUCCAGCAGAAAGAAUUCUGAACCUGCAGUCCGCGAUCAGGGCCUUCCUAGGACGUCGCUCCUUCUCGUGCAGAGAAGCGAUGAGUCUCUUAGGUCAGAUGACAGCCUAAAUAGUAGCAGUCCCCUGGUGCUAGGCCCAUUACAGAGCCCUUCAGUCCUGGCUUCUAAGGAAAUGGGACAAAAAUCUAUCCUCUUUGGGCAAGAAAAUCCUGAUCCCGGGCCACAUAAAAUCCUCAGUCCAGUGGUGGCUUCAAACAAAAACUUAACGAAGGGCAUGGUCUGGUUCAGAACCCCAGCAGUGCUUGUUCAUACCGAUGCCAGCAUAAAGGGGUGGGGCGCAAUUUUUUUUCCGAUCUCUACCAGGGAGACUGGCCUCUAAAUAUUGCUGCUCAUUCUUCAAACUACAGGGAGCUCAGGGCAGUUUGGGAGACAAUACAAGUUGCCACUCCAAAAUUAAGAAACCAACAUAUAAAGGUCUAUUCAGACAAUGUAACAACCGUGUCCUACCUCAAACAUGAGGGGGGCACUCGGUACCUGAAAAACUAGAAGGUCUGUCCAAAAAGAUCUUCCUCUGGGGGGAAAAGAACGUAAAGUCGAUAUCUGCAAUACAUUUAAAAGGAAGCCUAAACUGUGCAGCGGACUUCCUCAGCAGGACUACCAUAGACCAGGGGGAAUGGUCUUCAAACAGGGAUCCGGAAAUCUUGAAUCUCUCGGCUUGGAUCCUGAGUCCAACCUUCUAAGACAUAGAGGUCUCUCCGAAGCGGUUAUUUCUACCUUGAAGGCCAGCAGAAAGAAGGUGACCAACGCCAUUUAUUUUAAAAUCUGGAAAAAAUUCUGUACCUGGUCUGGCAACGAUGCCCCAGACCAAACCGAAUGUACUGAGGAUUUUGGAUUUCCUGCAGAAGGGCCUAGAGUCUGGGUUAAGUCCUUCUACCCUUAAAGUCCAGGUCUCAGCACUUAGUGCAUAUUUCGAUUCCGAAUUAGCCAGCCAUAGAUGGAUCCAAAGAUUCCUGAGAUCUGCAGCCAGACUAAGACCUUCUCUCAAAUCAAGGGUGCCUACCUGGGACUUAAACACUGUCCUUAACGGACUCGCAGGUCCGCCUUACGAACCCUUGGACUCAAGUUCUCUGAAACAUCUUUCUCAGAAGACGGCUUUUCUUAUUGCUAUAACAUCAGCAAAAAGAUUGAGCGAGAUCCAAGCAUUGUCAAUAAGACAACCAUACCUCACAAUACAGGAGGACGUGUCACCAUUGAGGCUAGACCCGACCUUUUUGCCAAAAGUAGUAACAGACUUCCAUAGGAACCAGGAGAUCGUUCUUCCCUCCUUCUGUGAAAACCCUAAGAUUUCUGGAGAAGAACGUUUCCAUACCUUGGAUGUUAGACGAACAGUGCUAAGAUACCUAGAGGUCACUAAAGACCUGAGGAAAGUGGACAAUUUACUAGUGCUCUUCUGUGGUAAAAAUAAGGGGAAGGCAGCUUCCAGAUCUACCAUUGCCCGAUGGGUAAAACAGACUAUUAUGGACUGCUACAAGAUCGAAGGCAUCAGUUGUCCAGAGGUCAUUCGGGCUCACUCUACGAGAGCCAUGUCUGCCUCUUUUGCUGAAAGGGCAGGAGCUUCCCUAGAUCAAAUAUGCCAGGCUGCAACCUGGUCUAGUGUAAACACCUUCAUUAAACAUUAUACACUUGACUUAUCCAGAUCCUCAGACCUGGCCUUUGGUCGCAAGGUCCUACCGGCCAUUCCCCCACCCUAAGACGUAUAUAAUUUGUUAUGUCUCUCUGGGCCGUCAUGGUGGUGAAGUGGAAAGCCGGAAUUAGACUUACCGGUAAUUCAUUUUCCACAAAUCCACCAUGACGGCAUGAUAUCCCACCCCAAAAAUACUUUUUACUCCGAUGGUUUGGUAUGACUUAAUACCAAAAAAACAAAAAACACUUUGUUGGUUCACUUGUUAACUGGUGAUUGUGGCACUAUAAUCUGGAACUCACUGGUGAAUGGUGGUGGGAGGGGUCCUUUUAAACCUAUCUCUGUUCCUGCCCCUACAGAGGUCAGGGGUAAAUCUCUCUGGGCCGUCAUGGUGGAUUCGGGGAAAAUGAAUUACCGGUAAGUCUAAUUCCGGCUUUUUUUUUUUUCUUUUCCAAAAGCAGCCCUUCUGUCCAUGAGUUGUGUCCGGUAUUGCCGUUCACUGAUCUGCCCUUCUGGACCAUUGUUUGUAGCUUUCAGUUGUUGUCACGUGUUUACAAAGUGCCCACUGCGGGGACAUUGUGAAGGCUUAUUGCAUGUCUGCACUGUCAUGCUUCAUGUAUAACCCGCUCCCCAUCCCCCGAGGUGUGACUGCUGGUGCCAUAUCCAGGGUAAUGGGGGUGACUGUGGGGUCCUGCACCAGUAGAUAUGAUCACAGACUUAGCAGGAGUGGAUGAGAUCCUUAUACUAAAAAAAGACGUCCUACAGCAUUGUAACUAAUAACCGACUGUUGGGGAAAAAACUAUAGAAACAUUCUUUAAAAUAAUCACAUGUACGGAGGUUGGCACCGCCUCCGGAAAACAAACUGAACGAAGUAUAGGUCACGUGGGACGUUCCGAGGCUCCGAUCACGUGGGACGCCGAACAGAAACCGGAAGGAGGUCCCUGAACAACGCAGCAAUAUGCACGCCAUCGGGUAGAAGAAGAGGGCAACUCAUCCGGGAGAUGCAGCAGAUGGCGAGCCGACCCUUCGCCUCCGUCAACGUCGCCCUGGAAACGGACGAGGAGCCGCCGGAUCUGAUCGGCGGGAGCGUGAAGACUGUACCGAAGCCGAUCGCCUUGGAGCC